CAAAGAGGACUUGGAUGCAAAGCAAGCCCUUUAAAUGCAUCGCAUCAAACACAGCAGGAGAAGGAGAGGGAUUUUCAUCGUGACACUGCCGAUUUAUAAGGAGCCAACUCUUAAAGUGUUUUCCUCAUGUGAUGGGGGAGAGGAGGUUUCCUUCUCAUGCUUUGCCAAAGAUUUUGCACCAAAGCAGUACGAGUUCAAAUGGCUGAAAAACGAUGGGGUAAUCCCCCACGACACAUAUGUGGACCAAACUCCUGCCAAAGAAAAAAAGACAGAGAAUGGAACUCUGUACAGUGCAGCAAGUUUCCUCACAGUACCAGCCAGCGAGUGGACUCAAGACACCAAGUAUGUAUGCGAGUUUAAGGGGAAAGGUAUGAAAGGUCCAGUGUACAAGAAUUCUUCUGUGAGCAACAAUGGGCUCAACAAUUGUUGCGAGGAAAUUCCAACAAGUGAGUCCCGUAUGUCUGUGGUAGAUGUGGAUAUAAAUAUCAAUGGCCCUUCAAUGGAUGACUUGUUUUCAAAAGGAAAAGGAACAAUGGUGUGUGAGGUCACGGUAAAUAAGGUCUCUGCAGACAAGAUUUAUUGGACAGACGAGCAAGGGAACGACAUAGCUGCUGCCUCAACAACUAGCAGCAAAGGACAUAAAGGCAAAUUCAGCCUUCCCCUUGAAAUCUCCUUUGAUGAUUGGAGCCGUGGGGUAAAGCCCUUCUGUAAUGUUGCACAUUCGGAGUAUACUGACCCCAUCAAGAAACAGCUUGAAAGGAAUAUUGGAGGACUGACUCAGCGUCCAUCAGUGUUUAUGCUGCCUCCGUUAGAACAUACUAGAAAAGAAAUGGUGACCUUGUCUUGCUAUGUGAAAGACUUCUACCCCAAGGAGGUUUAUGUGUCUUGGCUUGUUGAUGACGAGAAAGCAGACUCAAAGUACGGGUUCCAUACCACAAAACCUGUAGAAAACCAAGGAUCUUAUUCGGCAUAUAGCCAGUUAUCCCUCAGCUUCGAGCAGUGGAACAAGAGUGAUGCAGUGUUUAGUUGUGUAGUAUACCACGAGUCUCUGACUAACACAACUAAAGCUAUUGUCAGGUCCAUUGGGUCCAAAACCUCUCAAAACAUCAACCUGGUCAACCUCAACAUGAACAUCCCUGAAACGUGCAAGGCCCAAUAUGCAUUCACAGUGUGUGUAGUACUCGUCUUUGUGUGUAUAUACUUCACACAAUGGAGCGAUGCUUUGGAGGCAGAAAAAGAUAACAUGGCCGAACCUGCCCUCACCUUCAUCCUUCUCUUCCUCAUUACUCUGCUUUUCACCAUUGCAACUACUGCUUUCAAGGUUAAAUGAGGUGAACUUUCUGUAGAAUGUAUUUUUCACAGUGUUUUUGCAUACAUUCAGAGUAUCAUGUAAGUAACCGUCUUUGUCC